rnacentral:rRNA from 1 species
UACGAAGGGGGCUAGCGUUGUUCGGAAUUACUGGGCGUAAAGCGCGCGUAGGCGGCUUUUCAAGUCGAUUGUGAAAUCCCCGGGCUUAACCUGGGAACUGCAGUCGAGACUGUCUAGCUAGAGUAUGGGAGAGGGAAGUGGAAUUUCAGGUGUAGCGGUGAAAUGCGUAGAUAUCGGGAGGAACACCUAUGGCGAAGGCAGCUCGCUGGGACGUUACUGACGCUGAGACGCGAAAGCGUGGGGAGCAAACAGG